rnacentral:rRNA from 1 species
UACAGAGGUCUCAAGCGUUUGUUCGGAUUCAUUGGGGCGUAAAGGGUGCGCAGGCGGCGCGGUAAGUCGGGUGUGAAAUCUCGGAGCUUAACUCCGAAACUGCAUUCGAUACUGCCGUGCUUGAGGACUGGAGAGGAGACUGGAAUUUACGGUGUAGCGGUGAAAUGCGUAGAUAUCGUAAGGAAGACCAGUGGCGAAGGCGGGUCUCUGGACAGUUCCUGACGCUGAGGCACGAAGGUCAGGGGAGCAAACGGA